GUGAGGAAUGGCACAUUCUGCAAAUAUGUAAAGAUGUAGAUGUCAGUAGAUAUCAGUGUGGGAGGGGGGAGUAGGAUAUGCUUUGAGAGGAGAAAACAAGCCUGGGUAAGGACAGGCAGAGGAGUGGGUCCUGCCGCUGACAUUCACCAAGGACGCGGUGAUGGGGUGGGCACCCGCUAGCGGCUGGCUCCGCCCCUGUGACUCCGAAGAGAAGCGCUCUCGAACCUUGGAUCUCUCCCAGGGGGACGCGGACACACGCUGCACUGAGCAGCCGGGAGGAUGAGGAGUUUUGCAGAGAGGCGCCAUGAAACACCGUGAAGCGGAAGAUGAAGACGACGGACGCGUCAGUGCUGCUCACUGGCUUGCUAAGGCCUCUCUCUCACCCUGGGAAGCUUCCAGCUGCGUCCUGACCCGAUGGAAGUACACCUGCCAUCUUCUCUGGCUUUCCAGACGGCACUAGUGGUAAAGAACCCGUCUGCCAAUGCAGGUGACAUGACAGACCCGGGUCCGACCCCUGAGUCGGGAAGACCCCCUGGGGGAGGAAAUGGCAGCC
ensembl:lncRNA